rnacentral:rRNA from 1 species
AUUGAACGCUGGCGGCAGGCUUAACACAUGCAAGUCGAGCGGGGUGAUGGUGCUUGCACUAUCACUUAGCGGCGGACGGGUGAGUAAUGCUUAGGAAUCUGCCUAUUAGUGGGGGACAACAUCUCGAAAGGGAUGCUAAUACCGCAUACGUCCUACGGGAGAAAGCAGGGGAUCACUUGUGACCUUGCGCUAAUAGAUGAGCCUAAGUCGGAUUAGCUAGUUGGGGGGGUAAGGGCCUACCAAGGCGACGAUCUGUAGCGGGUCUGAGAGGAUGAUCCGCCACACUGGGACGGAGACACGGCCCAGACUCCUACGGGAGGCAGCAGUGGGGAAUAUUGGACAAUGGGGGGAACCCUGAUCCAGCCAUGCCGCGUGUGUGAAGAAGGCCUUAUGGUUGUAAAGCACUUUAAGCGAGGAGGAGGCUCUUUUGGUUAAUACCCAAGAUGAGUGGACGUUACUCGCAGAAUAAGCACCGGCUAACUCUGUGCCAGCAGCCGCCGUAA